rnacentral:rRNA from 1 species
UACGUAGGGUGCAAGCGUUGUCCGGAAUUAUUGGGCGUAAAGGGCUCGUAGGCGGUCCAUCACGUCGGGAGUGAAAAGCUGGGGCUUAACCCCAGUCCUGCUUCCGAUACGGGUGGACUAGAGGUAGGCAGGGGAGAACGGAAUUCCUGGUGUAGCGGUGAAAUGCGCAGAUACCAGGAGGAACACCGGUGGCGAAGGCGGUUCUCUGGGCCUGUUCUGACGCUGAGGAGCGAAAGCGUGGGGAGCGAACAGG